CACCGCAACCGCGAAGGCCUCAUUACCGGCGUCCGCUCGCGGGCGCCAUUUCUGUAGGGGGGAACGGCAGUGCGGCCUGUGGCCAUGGCGCUGUUCCCGGCCUUUGCAGGCAUUGGUGAGGCUUCCCAUAGCGGCAGCGCCAGGAAAGAGUUAGACUGGCUGAGCAACCCAAGCUUCUGCGCCGGAGCCGCAGCCUCUCUGAGCCGGCAGGGCGGAGGCGCCACGGCCCUGCUCUCCGAGGGGUCACCGCCGACCAGGAGCCCUCUGAAGUCAGAGCCUUCGGAUGAAAGUGACGCUAACAAAAAGCCCAAACAAGCAAGCAGAAAAAAGAAGAAAGAGAAAAAGAAGAAAAGGAAGCAUCACCACAAGAAAACCAAGAGAAAACAUGGCCAGUCCAGUAGCAGUGGGUCUGAGCCGGAUAGUGAUUCUGAAAAGGACAAGACUUCCAGAAGCCUUCGAGACAGUAAGAAGGAAUCAGAGAAACCAAACCAGGAAGGGGCUGCUGCCGCCGACACUGGGCACCGCUUGGUCUGGCUUGAGGACGUCCAGGCCCUCACGGGGGAGACCUUCCGGACAGAUAAGAAACCGGAUCCUGCAAACUGGGAGUAUAAGUCUCUCUACCGAGGAGACAUAGCAAGAUACAAGAGGAAAGGAGACUCCUGCCUCGGCCUUAACCCUAAGAAGCAGUGUAUAUCCUGGGAGGGGGCCGCCACCGAGAAGAAGCAUUCACACAAGCACGUGGAGCGCUAUUUUACGAAGAAGAGCGUGGGACUGAUGAGCGUUGACGGAGUCGCCAUUUGUGGUAAAACCGAACCUCCCUCAUCUGAGCCGGUCUCGUUUAUCCCGGUGAAGGGCUCGGAUGAGGGGGCUCCUCCUGUGACGACCUGGUUGAACCCUCUGGGGAUUUACGAUCAGUCCACCACGCAGUGGUUACAAGGGCAAGGUCCUCCAGAGCAAGAAUCAAAGCAGCUGGACUCCCAGACAGACAAAGAGAGUGCCCUGCUCAAGGCCAAGGUGGAGGACUUUAACCGGAGAGUCCGGGAGAACCCCCGGGAUAUUCAGCUGUGGAUGGCCUUCGUUGCUUUUCAGGACGAGGUCAUGAAGAGCCCUGGCCUGUACGCCAUCGAGGAAGGAGAGCAGGACAGGCGGAGGCGGUCCCUGCGGCUCGUGCUGGAGAAGAAGCUGGCCGUCCUGGAGCGGGCCAUCGAGAGCAACCAGAGCAGCGUGGACCUGAAGCUCGCCAGGCUGGUGCUCUGCUCCGAGUUCUGGGAGCCCUCCGCGCUGGCCAAAGAGUGGCAGAAGCUCAUCUUCCUGCACCCCAACAACACGGCGCUUUGGCAGAAAUACCUGUUAUUUUGCCAGAGCCAGUUUAGCACCUUUACCGUCUCAAAAAUUCACAGUCUCUAUGGAAAGUGCCUGAGCACCCUGUCUGCCGUGAAGGACGGCAGCAUCCUGUCGCACCCCGCCUUGCCGGGCACUGAAGAGGCCAUGUUUGCUCUGUUUCUCCAGCAUUGCCACUUCCUGCGGCAGGCCGGUCACUCGGAGAAGGCGAUCUCUCUUUUCCAGGCCAUGGUCGACUUCACCUUCUUCAAACCCGACAGCGUGAAAGACCUGCCCACCAAAGGACAGGUGGAAUUCUUUGAGCCCUUCUGGGACAGCGGGGAGCCCCGGGCUGGGGAGAAGGGCGCCCGAGGCUGGAGAGCGUGGAUGCACCAGCAGGAGCGCGGCGGCUGGGUGGUCAUCAGUCCAGAUGACGACGAUGAUGAACCAGAAGAUGAGGACCAGGAAAUAAGGGAUAAGUCUCUGCCGCGGUGGCAGAUCUGGCUUGCCGCCGAGCGGUCCCGAGACCAGAGGCACUGGCGGCCGUGGCGCCCUGAUAAGACCAAGAAGCAAACCGAGGAAGACUGUGAGGACCCAGAGAGACAGGUGCUGUUUGAUGACAUCGCACAGUCCCUAAUCCGUCUCUCCAGCCAGGAUCUUCAGUUUGGGCUGGUUGCGGCCUUUCUGCAGUUCCUGGGCGUGCCUUCUGGCCUCAGCCCUCCCGCCUCCUGCCUCUACCUGGCCAUGGAUGAGAACAGCAUCUUCGAUAACGGACUUCACGAUGAAAUGCCACUGACUUUUCUCAACCUUUCCUUCUCCGGCGUCAGCUGUGUUGGCCGCUCGGACCCGCUGGGCUGCCGGCGCUGGACGCGGGGUCACAGCCGGGAGGGCGAGGAGUUCAUCCGCAACAUCUUCCACCUCGUGAUGCCUUUGUUUUCAGGCCGGGAGAGGUCUGAGCUCUGCUUCUCCUGGUUACGGUACGAGAUCGCGAAGGUCAUUUGGUGUCUGCACACUAAAAACAAGAAGAGGCUAAAGUCACAAGGAAAGAACUGCAAGAAACUAGCCAAAAAUCUCCUUAAGGAGCCCGAAAACCGCAACAACUUCUGCCUCUGGAGGCAGUAUGCUCAUCUGGAGUGGUUGCUUGGCAACACGGAGGAUGCCAGGAAGGUGUUCGAUGCGGCGCUCAGCAUGGCGGGGGGCGGCGGCCUGCAGGACCGCGAGCUGUGUGAGCUCGGCCUCCUGUACGCCGGGCUGGAGGCCGAGCUGCCGGCCGGGUCGAGGGGGGCCGCCGCGGCGCGAGCCGUGCACGUCCUGACCAGGCUGACCGACCAGGGGCCCUACAGGCCCUACUCCGGGCAGGUGCUGGCCGUUCACGUCUUGAAGGCUCGCAAGGCUUACGAGCACGUGCUGCAGGACUGUUUGGGUGACAGCUGUGUCCCCGGGCCAGCUCCCAGCGACUCCUCCCCCCGUUGGAUCAGCCUGGUGAAAUGCUUCAUGCUCUUCCAGUAUUUGACGGUGGGGAUCGAUGCAGCCGUGCGGGUGUACGAGCAGGUAUUUGCAAAACUGAAGGGCUCUGUCCCCCCCGGGGGCCGUGGCUCGGAGGACGGGCCCGGCGCCCAGAGCCCAAGCGGCGCGCUGGAGGCCGUUACGCUGAUGCACGCCAGCCUGCUCAGAUUCCACAUGAAGGUCAGCCCCUACCCCCUGGCCCCUCUGCGACAGGCGCUCUCUGAGGCUCUACAGUUGUACCCGGGCAACCAGGUGCUCUGGAGGGCGUACGUGCAGGUUCAGAGUAAGUCCCACACGGCCAGUAAGACCAGAAGAUUCUUCGACGCAGUUACCAGGUCUACCAAACUCUUGGAGCCUUGGUUGUUUGCGAUUGAGGCUGAGCAGAUGAGGAAGAGGCUGGUGGAAAGUGUUCAGAGGGUAGGCGGCAGAGAGGUCCGCGCCACCAUCCCCGAGACCGGCCUGGCGCAUCGCAUCCAGGCCCUGUUUGAAAAUGCGCUGCGGAGUGAGCACGGCAGCCAGUGCCCCUUACUGUGGAGGAUGUACUUGAAUUUUCUGGUCUCCUUGGGAAACAGAGAAAGGAGCAAAGGCGUGUUCUACAAAGCACUUCAGAGCUGUCCUUGGGCAAAGACGCUGUACCUGGAUGCCGUGGAGUACUUCCCCGAGGAGCUGCAGGAGGUGCUGGACCUGAUGACGGAGAAGGAGCUGCGGGUGCGCCUGCCGGCCGAGGAGCUGGAGCUGCUGCUGGAGGACUAGAGGGCAGGAGGGACGGGGCCGCCUCCCGGGCCCCCGCCGAGCCGGGACCGCAGGACGUGGACACGACCCCCUGGGGGAGCACUGUCCGAGGACCCCUGCAGGCAUCCGGCUGAGAAGUACAGAGUGGAGCCAGCGCCUUCCACCAACCUCACCCCUGCCUGUGAGACCAGCCACGGGUGUGCUCUCGCCAGGCAGUGGCCCAGGCCCAGACCAACCACAUUCUUGUUUUGACUUCUGAAGGUAUGAAUGGAAUGAAAUGUAAAUACCCACAUUCACACCACUUUCUUCUGAAAAGAACAUGCCUUGCAGUCCAUCAUUAUCACUGGACUGGGCAGAAAUUGCUUUAUCUUCCCUGAGGUCCUGCUCUAAGAGGAAUUUGGACAGCUGCUGACAAAAUACGAUCUCUAGAAUGUCUGAGGUUGUAUUUCUUUGGCAUCUCGUCCAGAGAAGCCUGUGACGUGGAACAGAAUCUGGCCUAGAAACCGACGGACAGUGGGCGGGGAGAAGGGCAGCAGGUCAGCGCACCCGAGGAAGGCAGCGGGCCAGCCCAGGGGAUGCUUGCCUCGACCCGCCCCACCUCCUUUCCGGCUUGAAAAGUUCAGGGGAGAGAAGUGCAGGAAAUGGAGGCAGAAAGGUGAUGGGGAGGAAGUUUCUGAACCUGUAAGCACAGGGAGGACGGGGCUGAUUCCUUUCAGGAACCUUUCUUAGCAUCACCAGUACCUUCCUGCCCCAAGAAUGGGUUCUAGGCCCCUCAUGCUCCACACACCUUCCAGAAGGGAAAGCUGGGUCUCUUUCCAGGGCCAGAGUCACACACUUGGCCUUCGCUGCUUACACAGCAGAGAACGCUGGCUUUGCGGUCAUGGCUUCUCAGUAGCCGCUGCCCAGCUCUGCCGCCGGCUCCAGGAGGUGUUCACAUCUACACUCCUGGUCGUCGCCUAGAAGCUUCCUAGCACCUUGGUCCACCUGCUUGUUGUUGCUGAGCAGCUGGUGUGGAGGCUCCAGAAACAGGAUGAACGGUCUGAGGAGGAGGUGGCUUUAUUGGGGGGAGGGCACUGCACGAGGCCAACAUGAGGGCAGCCCCAGGGGCACCCUACACAUCACUCAAAGAGGGGCAGGGGUGGAGGGGUAUAGGGAGGGGGGAGUGAUUUGCUAAGAAAGAUCAACUGGAACGUGGUUCCUUGGGCAGCUUCCCGAUGGUCUCCUUGAAGGCAAAUGUGGUUCUACAGGUAGAGCCCCUCAGGGGUGCCUUCUUGUUUUUUAUAAAGAACAUUUUCUUUAGA